rnacentral:rRNA from 1 species
UAUCUAAACGGGGAAAUUCAAUACCGAACUUAACACUCGGUGUGCACUUUUCCCUUAGUAGGACGCCGUGAUCCAUUAGAAAUUGGUAGACGCCAGUCUAUAGUUGGUCAUCAAUGGGUCCGUACGAAGUUUAUUGGAACAAAUGGCGCGAUCUUUCAACGGUUGUGUGUAUUGUCUGGUAAGCGUGCGGGUGCUCGUGUCAUGACUGUCUGAUGGAUUUUAAAGACCAUAUCACUGAUGUUUCGGCAUCACUCGCCUCGCGGCCAGUAACUAGCGAUAUGUGUCCGAUCAACGGUGGUCAAAUUUGGGAUACCUUUUGGACCCGUCUUGAAACACGGACCAAGGAGUCUAUCUAAUGUGCGAGUAAGUGGGUAUAUGUAAACCUAUUUGCGUAAUAAACGUAACUAUUUAAUGGGAUUACAAGACACAAGUCUUCUCCAUCCCGGAGUACUUUUAUCAACAUAUGCGCAAGCAUAUGGAAAGUAUAUCAUGAGCAUAUUGGAUACGACCCGAAAGAUGGUGAACUAUGCCUGAUCAGGUCGAAGUCAGGGGAAACCCUGAUGGAGGACCGAAGCAGUUCUGACGUGCAAAUCGAUUGUCAGAAUUGGGCAUAGGGGCGAAAGACCAAUCGAACCAUCUAG